rnacentral:rRNA from 1 species
GACGUACGCUGGCGGCGUGCUUAACACAUGCAAGUCGAACGGAAAGGCCCUGCUUUUGUGGGUUGCUCGAUUGGCGAACGGGUGAGUAACACGUGAGUAACCUGUCCUUGACUUUGGGAUAACUUCUGGGAACUGGGGCUAAUACCGGAUAUGAUCUCCUGCUGCAUGGUGGGGGUUGGAAAGUUUCGGCGGUUGGGGAUGGACUCGCGGCUUAUCAGCUUGUUGGUGGGGUAGUUGCUUACCAAGGCUUUGACGGGUAGCCCGCCUGGGAGGGUGACCGGCCACAUGGGGACUGCGAGACGGACCAGACUCCUACGGGAGGCAGCAGUGGGGAAUAUUGCACAAUGGGCGGAAGCCUGAGGCAGCAACGCCGCGUGCGGGAUGACGGCCUUCGGGUUGUAAACAGAUUUCGACUGUGACGAAGCGUGAGUGACGGUAAUGGGUAAAGAAGCACCGGCUAACUACGUG